CCUACGGGAGGCAGCAGUGGGGAAUAUUGGGCAAUGGACGCAAGUCUGACCCAGCAACGCCGCGGGAAGGAAGAAGGCUCUCGGGUUGUAAACUUCUUUUAAGGGGGAAGAGCAGAAGACGGUACCCCUUGAAUAAGGCACGGCGAAAUACGUGCCAGCAGCCGCGGUAAUACGUAGGUGGCAAGCGAUGUCCGGAUUUACGGGGUGUAAAGGGCGUGCAGCUGGGGAGACAAGUCAGCUGUGAAAUCCACGGGCUCAACCCGUUGACUACAUUUGAAACUGUUUCCCUUGAGUGGCGGAGAGGUAAUCGGAAUUCCUUGUGUAGCGGUGAAAUGCGUAGAUAUAAGGAAGAACACCAGGGGCGAAGGCGGAUUACUGGACGAUAACUGACGGUGAGGCACGAAAGCGUGGGGAGCAAACAGGAUUAGAUACCCUGGUAGUC
rnacentral:rRNA from 1 species